CGUGCGUCUGACCCUUUUUCUUGUUGUCUUGUCGCGUUUGCUUUGAAGUACUUUGAACUACAGCGUGUGGCCUAGGAUUUCACGCCGUUGACGUGCGAUGUCACAGCCAGGAAACCGGUGCUACGUGCUCGGGUGCAGAAAGACUUACAACGCGAAUCCCGAGCUUGCAUUUCACCGACCUCGCAAUGGCGAAACGAAACGAAAGUGGGAGGCAGCGAUCGCCAGCCACUACUAUGGUGUGGCCCAAGGAUUGAAUGUUUCACGCGUCUGUUCCUGUCAUUUCGCCGACGACGCCUAUUUUGAUGAAGAUGUAUUGCAAGUUCGGCUUGGGCUACGGCAGAAACAGAAGCGGCUGAAGAUUUACGCCGUGCCUAGCACAUUCGAUCAGGAACAAGGGCAGGAACCACGGAAGUAACGGAGGAAGUAACGGAGGCGGCAGCAAGCACGUCAACGGAAUCAACUGGAUUUGAUGUGAAGGUCAUGGCCGAAGCAAGUGCUGGGGACCCACUUCCCACUUCACGGCGCAUCUCACAAGGGGGUUGCCAUCCCCUGAUUCCAGGAAGAGGAAAACAAUGGACAGACUUGCAUAGCGCAUUAGUACACCAGAUAUGGAUCUGCCAGCAUGAACCCUCCACAUCCCUGUGGCAGCGUACCUGUAACCGCCCAGACUUCACACCACAUUAAUGUAGAACCACAGCACAACAUAAAAUAGCGUAGGUUUAUUUGCCUCCCAUACAUAAUGGGAGGCAAAUAAACCUCCGUUCAGCUUUGACAGGGCAUUUGUGGACAAGGAAAACAUUUGGACUCUGUGUGUUUUGCUACGAAGUGCACCGUACAAGGCAGA